UACGUAGGGGGCAAGCGUUGUCCGGAUUUAUUGGGCGUAAAGAGCGUGUAGGCGGCCAUUCAGGUCAGCUGUGGAAAACUCGAGGCUCAACCUCGAGACGUCGGUUGAAACCGUUUGGCUAGAGUCCGGAAGAGGAGAGUGGAAUUCCCGGUGUAGCGGUGAAAUGCGCAGAGAUCCGGAAGAACACCGGUGGCGAAGGCGGUGAAGCUGGGCAGUUGCUGACACUGAGGCGCGACGAGCGUGGGGAGCAAACAGG
rnacentral:rRNA from 1 species